AGCAGCCGCCACGGGAAUACGAAGGGGGCUAGCGUUGUUCGGAAUAACUGGGCGUAAAGGGUGCGUAGGCGGAUCUUUAAGUCAGGGGUGAAAUCCCGAGGCUGAACCUCGGAACGGCCCUUGAUACUGGGGAUCUUGAGUCCGGGAGAGGUGAGUGGAACUGCGAGUGUAGAGGUGAAAUUCGUAGAUAUUCGCAAGAACACCAGUGGCGAAGGCGGCUCACUGGCCCGGAACUGACGCUGAGGCACGAAAGCGUGGGGAGCAAACAGGAUUAGAUACCCCAGUAGUCCCUGUCUCUUAUAA
rnacentral:rRNA from 1 species